rnacentral:rRNA from 1 species
UGGGGAAUUUUGGACAAUGGGGGAAACCCUGAUCCAGCCAUGCCGCGUGCGGGAAGAAGGCCUUCGGGUUGUAAACCGCUUUUGUUCGGGAAGAAAAGGCUCCGUCCAAUAAACGGGGCUCUUGACGGUACCGGAAGAAUAAGCACCGGCUAACUACGUGCCAGCAGCCGCGGUAAUACGUAGGGUGCGAGCGUUAAUCGGAAUUACUGGGCGUAAAGCGUGCGUAGGCGGUCCGUUGUGUCUGCGGUGAAAUCCCCGGGCUUAACCUGGGACUGGCCGUGGAAACUGACGGGCUUGCGUGUGGCAGAGGGAGGUGGGAUUCCGCGUGUAGCAGUGAAAUGCGUAGGGAUGCGUAGGAACACCGAUGGCGAAGGCAACCCCCUGGGCUGACACUGACGCUCAGGCACGAAAGCGUGGGGAGCAAGCAGG